rnacentral:lncRNA from 1 species
UGUAUCAGAAUGCGCAGGCGCACCGCUGUGUCUCCAGUUGCUCAGGUUCUGUGUGAGAUUUUGGUUCUUUGGCCAGAAAAUAUGAUGAUGAGCUUCUGGUGGUGGGCUACUUGUGAGUGGGGUGGGGAAUGGAAGGAGACCGCCUAUGCAUCCAGGGACUAGGCUGACCAGAGCUCAGACCGUCCUUGUGAGAGGUCAGUCUCCUGUGACUUGGAAACUCUAUCGGGAUUCGCCUGCCUGUAGGGGGCCAUUCUUCCUGGGUGCUCCUCGCUGCUUGAUUCCCGCAGCAGUGAUCUGACACAGCCUUUGUGGAGGGUGUGGACGCCCCCAGAACUGUGUUGGCUGCGUAGGCUGAACUCAAGGAACCCACUUCACCCUCUCAGUUCUCCCGAGCCCAGCCGCUCCUACAGUCCCUGAGCUCUGACUCCUCCCUCCUCAAGGCUUCCGGCGCGCGAGGCACCCACCCUACACUGUGUUCCUAGGUGGCAGCAGGGAUCGAGUCUGGUUUUUAUUCUUGUCCAUCAGUGCUUGCGCCCUAACGGAGCCUAAACUGAGUCGCUAUACAGUGAGCAGUGGCUGUUUGCUAAAUGGAAUGUGCUAGUGAUUUCCUGACAAGUGAAUUCAUAGUGACCACCCGCCUCUCAAGUGUCAUUCGUCCCAGCAGAAGGAUCUUGCUGAACACGGAUUGAAUCCUUUCACCACCCUCACCCUCGAGACUGCAGUAAAUUCAUCUGCUUUUCCAGCUCAUCACUUGGCCCUCGGUGUCGUUUCCCACUCUUUAAUUAUUUGCACUCAUUCACUCAACAGGUGCUUGAGAAGCGUCUACAGUCAG